GGAAGCUUCUGCGCCAUUUCAUUUGGUCUUGGGCGCCAUAACAGGCCGGUGGACCUGGCGGCGGCUGUUGACUGUGGAGCGAUUUUAACGCGGUUUGUUGUUCGGGGGGUGGCUCUGUGAUUUUUUUGAUUAUUAAAAAACGCGUCUGACGACAUAUUUGAGAGAAAACCGAGCGAGCUUUAUUACCAGCCCCGGCUUUUUGUGGAGAUUUCCAAGCAUAUUUUUGUUCUUUCGGCGCCUUCCCUUCCUUUUCUUCUUCCGGUCAUGGCGGUUACCAACGAAGGUGGGCUCUCCCCUCAGGCACCACCACAAAGCCAGGGCCCAUCCGCCUGGUACCAGAAUCCACAGCAGAACCAUGGAAGUCCUGAGCAGAAUGGGAGUUUUUCAGCACCCAUUGGAACGGGAACUGGGCAACAGAAAGUAGAAGGCGCAAGUUUGAAAAAUACCGAAAAGCAGAGAUCUAGCAAGAAGACAGAUGAGAUGACAGUCUUUAUGGAUGACUUGACUUUGAGUUCACCAAAAGAAAGGUCUCGUUCAAGGUCAAGGAGCAGCUGUAGCAGAAGAUCUUCUUCAAGAUCAUCUAGCAGGUCAUCUUACUCCACAAGAUCAAGUUCGAGUACUUCCUCUUCCUCCAGAAGCUGGAGUAGUUCAAGAAGCAGAUCAAGAUUACGUGCUAAAAGGAAUUGUUCUUGGAGGUGCAGAAGGUAUUCAAGAUCUUAUUCCAGAAGCCGGUCAAGAUCACGUAGCUACAAAUACCGAGAAAGAUACCAUCCUAGAUACCAUAGGCGAUACCGUCGCUCUCCUCCAAGAUACAGAUCACGGAGUAGGUCUCCUGGAAGACCAUGCUAUAGAAGAUCUUACUCUAGAAGCAGGUCAAGAAGCAGAAGAUACUAUGGAUUUGGAAGAACCAUAUAUCCUGAGGCUUAUAGAAGCUGGAGAAGCCGUUCUCGAUCAAGAUCUCGCAGUAGAACCCCUCUUCGCUUGACUGAAAAAGAAAAAAGAGAGCUACUGGAAAUCGCAAAGGCCAAUGCAGCAAAAACUUUGGGGACAGACAAUGUGGUCCUGCCAGCCAGCUUGAAAAUUGGUACAAAAUCAAAAGAAAGUGAAAGCAGAAAGCCAGAUGAGGAGAGUGUAAAAUGGUAAGUGAAAUGGUUAUUCAGAUGCCAAAACUAAAUGCUUUGAAAAACUACAUCAAAAAAUAGAGUUAGCCUUGUUUCAUCAUUUGAAAAUAAAUAUUUGAAAAUAUUUUCAAAAUGUAGUUAGUAUUUUUCAAGUUUGGAAACCAAAUGGCAGAUGUCAAAUCUUCGCCUGUUGAGGUAAAGUUACCAAGUAAUCCUAAACAUCUGGGCUCUUUGAAAACGUUCUGAGAUUUCCUAAUGAUUAAAUAAUAAAAUGAAUUAUGUAUUUUACUAGCUCUUCAAUUUACUGGAUGGGGUUCUUUUUCAUACGUUUUGCUGACCCAGAUAAGGCUAAUUUAUAUGGAUGUUAAAUUUCAAAUGGUGUUCUAAUACCUGUCAAAUUGUGAUGCAACAAAAAGUUUCCAGAAAUUCUUUAUCUGGACACGCAGCGCAUUUUACAUGCUUUAUUUCUGUCUUAUAGAAAUCAUGAAUAUGGUCUCCAGCACUGAUGAAGAAAAUCUGGUGAAUGCAUUGUGGCAGGGUCACUGGCCCUAAAACCAGCAACUGUUCCUUUUAAAGACGCCACACUGUCCCCAAGAAAAGACAAGAAAAAAGAGACCCCAUCUGGUCAAUGGAUUCCUGUUGGGAAUGAGGAAAAUGUUAUGUUCCAUAACAUUUCACCUAAAAGUACAUCCUCUAGAGCAUGCCAGUACCCAUGUUCUGUUUGAGCUGUUCAGGCAUUAUGGGGUUUGAAAUCCUCUCAAAAUUCAGGGUUUAAAUACAAAAUGCUUAAAACUGUAUUAAUUUGAGAUUUGGUUUAUUUUCCAGAUAUACUAUGGGAGUUAUAUAGAGGUCCAGAAAUUACAGGUUGGAAUCUUACAUUUUUGUAAAUAACUUUUCAUGUGGCUGUAAUAGACUAAAUUACAGGUGGGUAACUUUUCUCCUUGUGAGUCAUGUAGCAACUUCUAGUGUUUAAUGUGAGUGUAGCUUAAUUACUGUACUACAUAUAAAAUCAUUUUUUCUACACUUUAAUACUUUUUAAGUCAACACUUUAAAAAGUGUGAUUUAUGGCUCCUGGUGGUAAUUCAUUUAGCUUGUGUAGCUUCCCACAUUCCUACUUAACCUGAACACCACCAUAUUUUGCAAGUGGCAGAAGGAUAAGCAAAGAAAAUUCUACUUGUGCUCUUUAAGUGGCAAAAUGUUGAAUUUUCGGUUGCACAAGGUUAAAAUAUUUUUUGUCUGCUGUCUUGUUAUGGAACCAGCAUAAUUGCUCUCAUGCCUGCACUUUUAGUUAGAAGUAAAACAUUUGCAAUGUCAGCUAUGACCUUCUGAGCUUGUGCAUGUUAACUGCUAAUUGGUAAGAGCCUAGUGCUAGAUAUAUAAAUUCAGGUUUUUUUGUAGUUUGCCCCAAAGGCUUAUAAUGCAAACUUAAGGUAGAAUUUAAGUAGACUGCCUUUCAAGAAGAAAGGGCUGGUUGGGGCAAAGUUGAUGUCAAAUGAAAGUAGGUAUUAGGUAAUCCCUAUAUUGUAUGGAUGUGUUGCUAUUGCUAAAUGUGAUUAGUUCGUAUGACAUUUAAGGAGAAAGCUAGAUUUUGUGACUUGACCUAAAAGCUAGAGAUAAGAUCACUUGCACAAGCAGCACCUUUCAUUUAAUAUGCAUAAAACUGGACUACAUGUAUAAAAUAAAAACUUUUAAAUAAACCUUUCCUGAAUAA